AAUCUACUCCCUCCUUCCGAAAAAGCUUGUCUCUCAAAUGGAUGUAUCUAGCACCAAGUUAGUGCUAGAUACAUCCAUAUGAGGGACAAGCUUUUCCGGACGGAGGGAGUAGUAA
rnacentral:pre_miRNA from 1 species